GACAUGUUAGUCAGUGACCCCAACAGCUCAGCACAUUUCUACCUAUUGAGAUAGAGUAAAAAUGACUCCUACAGCCCUAAAGUUCAGUUUUAUAACACAGAGGAUGAUGUAAUUGAAACCAAGCCCCCAAAGCCACACUGGUAUGGAGGAUGAAAGUGCAACCAUGGAGGAAAGGCAAACAACAAACAGAGGGGCAUGGAGCAUAUUCCUAGAGAAUAAUGAACAUAAAAUGUCACAAGGCGUACAGGG